GACGAACGCUGGCGGCGUGCCUAAUACAUGCAAGUUGAGCGCUGAAGGUUGGUACUUGUACCAACUGGAUGAGCAGCGAACGGGUGAGUAACGCGUGGGGAAUCUGCCUUUGAGCGGGGGACAACAUUUGGAAACGAAUGCUAAUACCGCAUAAAAACUUUAAACACAAGUUUUAAGUUUGAAAGAUGCAAUUGCAUCACUCAAAGAUGAUCCCGCGUUGUAUUAGCUAGUUGGUGAGGUAAAGGCUCACCAAGGCGAUGAUACAUAGCCGACCUGAGAGGGUGAUCGGCCACAAUGGGACGGAGACACGGGCCAAACUCCUACGGGAGGCAGCAGUAGGGAAUCUUCGGCCAUGGACGAAAGUCUGACCGAGCAACGCCGGGGGAGGGAAGAAGGUUUUCGGAUCGUAAAACUCUGUUGGUAGAGAAGAACGUUGGUGAGAGUGGAAAGCUCAUCAAGUGACGGUAACUACCCAGAAAGGGACGGCUAACUACGUG
rnacentral:rRNA from 1 species